UACGAAGGGGGCUAGCGUUGUUCGGAAUUACUGGGCGUAAAGCGCGCGCAGGCGGUUUUUCAAGUCAGUGGUGAAAGCCCGGAGCUCAACUCCGGAACUGCCAUUGAAACUGUAAAACUUGAGGAUGAGAGAGGUGAGUGGAAUUCCCAGUGUAGAGGUGAAAUUCGUAGAUAUUGGGAAGAACACCGGUGGCGAAGGCGGCUCACUGGCUCAUAUCUGACGCUCAGGCGCGACAGCGUGGGGAGCAAAC
rnacentral:rRNA from 1 species